rnacentral:rRNA from 1 species
AGUGAACGCUGGCGGUAGACCUAACACAUGCAAGUCGAACGGCAGCACAGUAAGAGCUUGCUCUUACGGGUGGCGAGUGGCGGACGGGUGAGGAAUACAUCGGAAUCUACUUUUUCGUGGGGGAUAACGUAGGGAAACUUACGCUAAUACCGCAUACGACCUACGGGUGAAAGCAGGGGAUCUUCGGACCUUGCGCGAUUGAAUGAGCCGAUGUCGGAUUAGCUAGUUGGCGGGGUAAAGGCCCACCAAGGCGACGAUCCGUAGCUGGUCUGAGAGGAUGAUCAGCCACACUGGAACUGAGACACGGUCCAGACUCCUACGGGAGGCAGCAGUGGGGAAUAUUGGACAAUGGGCGCAAGCCUGAUCCAGCCAUACCGCGUGGGUGAAGAAGGCCUUCGGGUUGUAAAGCCCUUUUGUUGGGAAAGAAAAGCAGCAGGUUAAUACCCCGCUGUUCUGACGGUACCCAAAGAAUAAGCACCGGCUAACUUCG